rnacentral:lncRNA from 1 species
ACAUAAGGUCCUUCUGGCUUGGCAUCCACUUUCUUCUGAAGUCCCCUUUGUAUGGGAAGGAUCUUCUUUGAUAUCGGGUCCCCCUUGUGGAAUUCUCUGGAGCAAACCUUGUUUUGGUGAACUCAUACCAUUUGCUUUUGGUACAUUUGACCAUGAUAGAUAUUUUGAACAUUCCUCUCCAACCAGGAUUGGAUCCAAAAACUCAAAGAGAAGGAAAUCUCGACCUCAAUAGGUGAAACCGCGAUAAGC